rnacentral:rRNA from 1 species
CCUACGGGGUGCAGCAGUGGGGAAUAUUGGACAAUGGGCGAAAGCCUGAUCCAGCCAUGCCGCGUGUGUGAAGAAGGCCUUCGGGUUGUAAAGCACUUUCAGUGGGGAAGAAAGCCUUGGGGCUAAUACCCUCGAGGAAGGACAUCACCCACAGAAGAAGCACCGGCUAACUCCGUGCCAGCAGCCGCGGUAAUACGGAGGGUGCGAGCGUUAAUCGGAAUUACUGGGCGUAAAGCGCGCGUAGGCGGUCUGAUAAGCCGGUUGUGAAAGCCCCGGGCUCAACCUGGGAACGGCAUCCGGAACUGUCAGGCUAGAGUGCAGGAGAGGAAGGUAGAAUUCCCGGUGUAGCGGUGAAAUGCGUAGAGAUCGGGAGGGAUACCAGUGGCGAAGGCGGCCUUCUGGACUGACACUGACGCUGAGGUGCGAAAGCGUGGGUAGCAAACAGGAUUAGAUACCCUGUAGUC